CAUAGACUGACCAGGUGAAUUCAGGUGAAAGCUAUAAUCCCUUAUUGAUGUCACCUGUUAAAUCCACUUCAAUCAGUGUAGAUGAAGGGGAGGAGACAUGUUAAAGAAGGAUUUUUAAGCCUUGAGACAUGGAUUGUGUGCCAUUCAGAGGGUGAAUGGGCAAGAUAAAAUAUUUCAGUACCUUUGAACAGGGUAUGGUAGUAGGUGCCAAGCGCACCGGUUUGAAUGUGUCAAGAACUGCAACGCUGCCGGGUUUUUCACACUCAACAGUUUCCUGUGUGUAUCAACAAUGGUCCACCACCCAAAGGCCAUCCAGCCAACUGGACACAACUGUGGGAAGCAUUGGAGUCGACAUGGACCAGCAUCCCUGUGGAACGCUGGACACCCCGUAGAGUCCAUGCUCUGAUGAAUUGAGGCUGUUAUGAGGGCAAAAGGGGGUGCAACUCAAUAUUAGGAAGGUGUUCCUAAUGUUUUGUACUUUCAGAGUCUAUUGGGACUAUUGAUUAAACUUGAAUGUAGGGCUGUCUGUAAUCCUAUUGGUUAAAUGUGUAGUAGAGUCUGUAAUCCUAUUGGUUAAAUGUGUAGUAGAGUCUGUAAUCCCAUUGGUUAAAGUCUGUAAUCCUGUUGGUUAAAUGUGUAGUAGUAGAGUCUGUAAUCCCAUUGGUUAAAUGUGUAGUAGUAGAGUCUGUAAUCCCAUUGGUUAAACGUGUAGUAGAGUCUGUAAUCCCAUUGGUUAAACGUGUAGUAGAGUCUGUAAUCCCAUUGGUUAAACGUGUAGUAGUAGAGUCUGUAAUCCCAUUGCUUAAACGUGUAGUAGUAGAGUCUGUAAUCCCAUUGGUUAAACAUGUAGUAGUAGAGUCUGUAAUCCCAUUGGUUAAACAUGUAGUAGUAGAGUCUGUAAUCCCAUUGGUUAAACGUGUAGUAGUAGAGUCUGUAAUCCCAUUGGUUAAAUGUGUAGUAGAGUCUUCUGUAAUCCCAUUGGUUAAAUGUGUAGUAGAGUCUGUAAUCCUAUUGGUUAAACGUGUAGUAGUAGAGUCUGUAAUCAUGGCCUCUGCUAUCUCAGUGCUGUGACUGUCAAAGAAUAAAACCCUG
rnacentral:lncRNA from 1 species